rnacentral:rRNA from 1 species
UACGUAGGGUGCAAGCGUUUGUCCGGAAUUAUUGGGCGUAAAGAGCUCGUAGGCGGUUUGUCGCGUCUGCUGUGAAAACGCGAGGCUCAACCUCGCGCCUGCAGUGGGUACGGGCAGACUAGAGUGCGGUAGGGGAGAUUGGAAUUCCUGGUGUAGCGGUGAAAUGCGCAGAUAUCAGGAGGAACACCGGUGGCGAAGGCGGGUCUCUGGGCAGUAACUGACGCUGGAGGAGCGAAAGCGUGGGGAGCGAACAGG